rnacentral:rRNA from 1 species
GACGAACGCUGGCGGCGUGGAUUAGGCAUGCAAGUCGAACGGUAUCAUCCUUUCGGGGGUGAGAGAGUGGCGAACUGGUGAGUAACACGUAGGUUAUCUACCCUCAAGACGGGGACAACCCAGGGAAACUUGGGCUAAUACCGGAUGUGAGCAACUUUUAGUUGUUUGAAAGGUGGCGUAAGCUGUCGCUUGGGGAUGAGCCUGCGUCCUAUUAGUUAGUUGGUGAGGUAACGGCUCACCUAGGCAAUGAUAGGUAGGCGGCCUUAACGGGUGGUCGCCCACACUGGGAUUGAGAUACGGCCCAGACUCCUACGGGAGGCAGCAGUCGAGAAUAGUCUACAAUGGUCGGAAGACUGAUAGUGCGACGCCGCGUGAACGAUGAAUCCCUUCGGGGUGUAAAGUUCUUUUAUAUGUGAGCAGUGCUUCUUAUAUUAACAGUAUGGGGAGAGAGAUAUUAGCAUAUGAAUAAGCAACGGCUAACUCCGUGCCAGCAGCCGCGGUAACUCG